GACAGAGGUGCCAAGCGUUAGGCGGAAUCACUGGGCUUAAAGCGCGUGUAGGCGGCCCUGCAAGUCGGAUGUGAAAUCCCACGGCUCAACCGUGGAAGUGCAUUCGAAACUGCAGGGCUAGAGUCCUGGAGAGGAAGGUGGAAUGCUUGGUGUAGAGGUGAAAUUCGUAGAUAUCUGGAGGAACACCGGUGGCGAAGGCGGCAUCCUGGACCGGUAUUGACGCUGAGGCGCGAAAGCCAGGGGAGCAAACGGG
rnacentral:rRNA from 1 species